UAAGUCCUGUCAGGUAAGGUUUAACCAACCACCUGUAUCGAGUGUUGCGCCUUUGGCGGAGUUUGAGAUUAGCCGAUGCUUUUCAGUGAGCGAUCACAAUCAAGCGAACAAUAUAGGUGAAGCGUACACAGAGAAUCAUAUAGGCCAUAGGGAUUGUCGUGGCAUGUUUGAAGAGAUGUAUUGAGAACUUGAGAGAUCC
rnacentral:ncRNA from 1 species